rnacentral:rRNA from 1 species
AACGCGAAGAACCUUACCAGGGUUUGACAUCCCGUGAAUUUCUCCGAAAGGAGAGAGUGCCAUUUGGAGCACGGUGACAGGUGUUGCAUGGCCGUCGUCAGCUCGUGUCGUGAGAUGUUUGGUUAAGUCCAUCAACGAGCGCAACCCCUUUACUUAGUUGGAUUUUUCUAAGUAGACUGCCCCGGUAACGGGGAGGAAGGAGGGGAUGAUGUCAGGUCAGUAUUACCCUUAUAUCCUGGGCUAGAAACACGCUACAAUGGCCGGUACAAAGGGCAGCCAAGGCGCGAGCCGGAGCAAAUCCCAUCAAAACCGGUCUCAGUUCGGAUUGCAGGCUGAAACUCGCCUGCAUGAAGCUGGAAUCGCUAGUAACGGUAGGUCAGCACACUACCGUGAAUACGUUCCCGGGCCUUGUA